UCGAAAGAGUCCAUGCUUGCUGUUUCAAU
rnacentral:piRNA from 1 species